UACGGAGGGUGCAAGCGUUAUCCGGAUUUACUGGGUUUAAAGGGUGUGUAGGCGGGCUUUUAAGUCAGUGGUGAAAUCUCCGGGCUCAACCCGGAAACUGCCAUUGAUACUAUUAGUCUUGAAUUUUGUUGAGGUAGGCGGAAUAAGUCAUGUAGCGGUGAAAUGCUUAGAUAUGACUUAGAACACCAAUUGCGAAGGCAGCUUGCUAAACAAACAUUGACGCUGAGGCACGAAAGCGUGGGGAUCAAACAGGA
rnacentral:rRNA from 1 species